GGAUGUGAGGGCGAUCUGGCUGCGACAUCUCGUCUUGCCCAUUGAUCGCCAGGGUUGAUUCGGCUGAUCUGGCUGGCUAGGCGGGUGUCCCCUUCCUCCCUCACCACUCCAUGUGCGUCCCUCCCGAAGCUGCGCGCUCGGUCGAAGAGGACGGCCUUCCCCGAAUAGAGACGGACCGGUCUUCGGUCGAGGGUAUACGAGUAGCUGCGCUCCCCUGCUAGAACCUCCAAACAAGCUCUCAAGGUCCAUUUGUAGGAGAACGUAGGGUAGUCAAGCUUCCAAGACUCCAGACACAUCCAAAUGAGGCGCUGCAUGUGGCAGUCUGCCUUUCUAA
rnacentral:snRNA from 1 species